rnacentral:rRNA from 1 species
UACGAGUGCCUCAAGCGUUAUCCGGAAUCAUUGGGCGUAAAGGUUGUGUAGGUGGUCAUAUUAGUCUUUUGUUAAAUUCUUCGGCUUAACCGGGGGCAUGCAAAGGAAACGGUAUGACUAGAGGAUGCGAGGGGUCUGCGGAACUCAUAGUGUAGCGGUGAAAUGCGUUGAUAUUAUGGGGAACACCAAAAGCGAAGGCAGCAGACUGGAGCACUCCUGACACUGAAACAAGAAAGCGUGGGUCGCGAAUGGG